AGAUGAGGAAACUGCUCCAGCCUGAGAGGAAGGAGACCAGAAGGCAAACUGGCCUUUCCAGAGGAGCCUGGACAGUCCUAAGCUGGAGCAAAAAGCCACGUUUCUCAGCCCAAGGUUUAACAAAGCUGACUUGGCCCAAGCCAUUCCACCCCAAACUCACUGAUAAGCAUCCAAGAAGAAGAUUCCCCUCUUCGAGUUCCUUGAAAAACGUCCAAGGGCCGAUCCUGCGGUCCGAGGCCGAGAGGCUCCCGGUGGGAAUGGCCCGAUGACAGCCUCCCUGCUGCAGCCCGCCGGAGAAGAGAUGCAUUCCCUCACUUAGGAAAGCGAAGCGAACUCUGUGAGGGGACUAAGGCACAGAGAUGUUAAGUGAUUGCCC